GAUGAAGAACGCAGUGAAAUGCGAUAAGUAAUGUGAAUUGUAGAAUUCAGUGAAUCAUCGAAUCUUUGAACGCACAUUGCGCCCCCUGGUAUUCCGGGGGGCAUGCCUGUUCGAGCGUCAUUUCACCACUCAAGCCUCGCUUGGUAUUGGGCAACGCGGUCCGCCGCGUGCCUCAAAUCGACCGGCUGGGUCUUCUGUCCCCUAAGCGUUGUGGAAACUAUUCGCUAAAGGGUGCUCGGGAGGCUACGCCGUAAAACAAACCCAUUUCUAAGGUUGACCUCGGAUCAGGUAGGGAUACCCGCUGAACUUAAGCAUAUCAAUAAGCGGAGGA
rnacentral:misc_RNA from 1 species